UCUCAUGCAGUCAUUCUCCAAAAGGGAGCACUUUCUGUUGUCUGAAAGAAAACAAAGUGCCUCCUUUUAGAGUGUUACUGUUUGAGA
rnacentral:pre_miRNA from 13 species